GAGAGAGAGAGAGGGACGAUGGAAACCUACAGGAGCAGGCUGGACUACUGUCAAUCAUUAGCCUGUUUUAUCAUUUUUUAUUGGCAGAAAUAUAAAUAGUAAUUUAACAAACGACUUAUAGUGGACAUUGAAAGAGAACUUCUAGGCAUGGAGGUUUUCACACGUUCAACAGAACCUUUUAGUCCCAGCAUUUCAGAAGUAGCGAGGUGAUUAUAAGCAGAACAAAUGUUCAGGUCAAGGUGACCUGCUGAAGUUCUCUAGCAUGAACCAGGAUGGAUAUUUAAUUGAGUUUCAACUGUGGUGGUGAGUAUUGAGAGUCUGCAGAACAAUGUGGCUUUAUGUUGUUUCAUUUUGGAUGUAGUUACAUGAAGAAAAGAAAUCUGUAGAAAAAAAAGAAAGAACACCGAAAAAUCAAAAGCAAGAAUCCACACAUUAAAAAAUGAAGGUUGUGGUCACUGAGCUGAUUUGAAUUUUCUAUUAGUUUAAUUUUUAACAAUAACAAAUAUGAUUCCUUGAAGAUAUUUAUAUAUUUUUAUACUUUUCAGAAAUUAGUGCAUAAAUACAUUAAUGUUCCCCUUCUGAGUAAGUUAAAAAUUUUAAUAAAACUCCAUCAUAUUUUAUGCUCCUUAUACUGGUAAUUAAAGAUUCUCUAUUUUCACGUCAUGGUAGUGGUAGCAUCAUAAUUUGUAGUUUUCUUAUAUCAGUUUAUUUCAAAAAGGUAAAUAACUUUAGAGAAACUGGAGAACCUAAAAGGGGUUGAAGCAUUCCCAAUUUAUCUGGUUUUCAUCAUCGGGAUCAGAGUUCUUGAAUGUCUGACAAGGAUCACAAACUUUUAAUUUAACCUCUCAACUAUCUGAAAAAAAAACUUUUGUUCAAUCAAAACUUGUUCUAAAUCCUUAAUAACUUCAAUUCCCAGAACCUCACUCCUUCAUAUUUGACAUCCCUGAAAUCCCCAAAUGUCCUCUGUCGAUGCCCAAAUGAUUUAAUUCAGUAGUAUGCACUGAAUAGGAGGUAUCUAGGUUUAGAAAAGACCAUUACUGAGGGCAUUUGGAUUGUAUUCAAGAUAUUUAAACAAAAAUGUCAUCUUUUGACCCACAUAUUGUUUUAACUGCACAAACUAAAAAAAUUUAGGAUGAAUAUUAACCUUCUAUUACACACAACAUUCAUGUCACAACAUUUUUCACAGACAUCAAAUAAAAAAAUCCCUCUUUCCAAUGUGCACUUUUGAACUCGCAUUUUGUGCACUUUUUUUGACAAAUAUGCUCAAACUGACAGCCACAACUUUAUGUACAAAGCCAGUCAGAGUCAAAAGAUCUGAAAGAAAUUAUUCAAGAUGUUACUGUAAGCAAAAACAUUUAGCUAUUGUUUAACUGGAUAAAACAUUGAUGUUAGAAAUAACAUUAAAGUAAGUCAGUCUAUAUAUUUGGAAGUGCAUUUAGAAAAUAUGAGGUUAUUCAAGAGAGAACAAAUAUUUAGAGAGAAAUCUAAGAGUAGGAAAGUGCUGAGAAUCUGUCUUAUUUCCUGAUAUAAUCUAUUUUCCAAAACAAAAAGUAAAGCAACAAACGCAUUCAGUGUAAAAUAUUUAAGCUUUUAUUAUGAAGUUCUAGCACUUCCUGUAUGGACAAUGUGAUAUAUGUGGGUCUACACAGGAAGUGCGCCAGAGGUUAAGGUGAGAACAUAAAGUAAAAGUUUGAAUAUGGAAGUAAGAAAACAAGUGGAUUGACAACACAUUUUUUAAAUAAAAACAUUCAUAACUGUGUAAAUGUGCCAAUAAGACAAUUUAUGCUUUAUUUGUGACUAAAACAAAGUAAAAAGGACAUUUUAUAAAUUAAUUUUCCACAUGAAAAAUGCAGAAAAGGUCCCAAUAGUGCAGAAACUGACAGAGAAAGUUGCCAAAACUGUGAUCUGCAGUGACAGAGUGUGAUCAGAGUUUGACCUUUCACACAGUUUCCCGCCACAUCAUCACAAAGUUCAUGCAGACCAGACUAAGCCAGAUGAGUUCAGCCCAAAGCAGCAGCAUUUGAGGCUAUGAAAGACUUUGAUCUUCACCAGCAUUACCUCAUUUCAUGUCACUAGAGCAUGUUAAUCUAGUCUUUGGAAGUGUGACUCAUUAAACCAGAGAUUAUGGCUAAUCUAUAGCCAUGAAUGUGAUUGUGUGUGCGGGUCAUUUUUUUCUUCCAGAUGAUAAUCAGGUGACUACAUUAUGCUACAGUCUUUUAUGAGCAAACACAAUGUAAGAUCUUAAAAAGUCAAUAAAAAAAUUGAAACUCAUUUUAAUAAAAAGUAGUAAAAAAAAAUGUACAUUUAUAAAAUAGUCUAUUAAAGCAGAAUAAGACAGGAAAAUCAAGCAAAUCUAAAGCAGAUGCUGUGACAAAGAGGAUGGACAUCAAACUGUUAUUCAAAAUGUAUGAUUUUUACUUCUUUUAUCAUUCCACAUCAUCAUCCAUAGAUCCAUCCUCAAAACUCGAUGAAUUUCUUUCAGCGUCACUGAGUUGCUGGAGCCUAUCCCAGUCGGUCGCAGGCAUUAAUUUCAGGAUGUCCACUAAUUACAGCGAUGACAACCACAGAGGACCACAGCUCACUCUGUAGAGAAGAGAAAGAGAUGGAUGGGUGUAAUGAUCGUCAGUGGUUGUAGCAUCAGGCUGAACUUUUCUGUUAUUUCCGUGACUUACAAAUGCAAAGACAAUAAAUUAACAAUUGAAAUGAAACAUAAAAACACACAAACAGCAUACAAUUAAAGGUAAAAAAAGGAAUGAAUUACUUUCAUUCUGCAAACCUAAAAGUAUUCUGUAAAGAAAAAGAGAAAGAGAAAAAUCUAAAGAAAUCACAGCAAAACAGUUUACAGUUUUUAAAAAGGAAAAAAA